rnacentral:lncRNA from 1 species
AAUACAAUAACCCAAUUCUGGAAUUUUUAGAAAAAUGGUAGUAUUAGGGUAAAAGUACCGAAUAUGAGACCAUUCCCUUAUAUGAGACCCCAGUCUAUUUGGCCCCAUAGAUGCUGGUAUCUAACGGUAAGCAUUAUAACUUGUAGCAAUCACCAUUUUAGGUAUUCGGAGUGUGUAAGAAGAACCUGCCCAGACCAAGCGUGUUUCUGUUCCUUUUUAAGUGUUUUUCAGCUUUUGGAGUUUUUGAAGCGUAUAGGAUCACGUCGAUAUUCCAUAACAAAGAUAAGAUAUCUUUCUUUAAGUUUAAAACUAUUGGGUAGUGGAAGGAACAAAGAAAUUAGUAAGUAGGCUGAACGUCAUUGUAUGCUUAAUCUAGCCUGAUACAAGGUGGCUUUUCUUGUAGUAUCUAAAGUGCCUAAUACGAGACCCUCAAUGGAUCCUAAUAUGAUACAGGGUCUCAUAUUCGGAUCGCAUUUAUUUUAAUUUAUGGUUGUUUUAGAAAUUGAAAAAUAAAACCUAAAAUGAUAUGUUCACAAAUUGCAUUUAUUAAAAAAACCCAAAUUAUGUUAAUUUAUGUAAUAAGGCUGACUUUUCUACAUUGGUUCUUCCUGAAUAUUGUUCACAUAGAUAUUUCCACCACAAAGAAGAUGGAAGACGUGGGAUACUGUUCUGAUGAUUCGUGCAGUUCAGUUAGUACGAAGCGGAGAAAUGGGCUACAAGAGAGCAGCAAAACAUUUGCAGGUACCUAAGGGAAUGCUUGAGAAUUAUGUUAAAGACACCACUAAAUCUCCAGAUUCUCUAGUCCUAGUAAACCUAGGCAGAAAGCCAGCUUUAAAAAAAGAACUGGAAAAUAUGCUCAUUAAAUACUGCAUCGAAAUGGAUAAGAGAUACUAUGGUUAUUUUUUGCAGGAAUCUGUAUUCAGAAGACAAAAGAGGUGAACAAUGUACCAAGUGUUACAUGUGGGCUCAUGAACUUUGCGGAGCAGACGAUCGUUUUAUUUGUCCUAAUUGCUCAAAAAAAAAAGAAAAAAACAUUUCAAUAGGAAAGAAAUAAAGAAUUUUAAUUUAAAUAAGCAAAACAACCAUAUUAUUAUUAUAUUUAAGAAAUAAAAUAACGGGUCUCAUAUUAAGCACCCAUUUUGAGAAUACAAGAUUUUGCACUUUUUUAUAUUUUCUAUAUUUUUAAGAAUUAAUUUGAUUGUAACAGUUAUGAAUAUGUUAUAUAUUGUACCAAAGUAAAGCUUCUUUAAGGAAAUGAAUUAAUACAGUUUUGUUUUCAAAAAUUAUAGCUUUUAGAGAACUUUUAAAAAAAGGGUCUCAUAUUCGGCACCUUUACCCUAUGUACGUAUGUAUUCAAUACUUAGAAUCUUAAAUUUUAAGUAGUGUUGUGUAGCUUUAAACAUUUAUAUUUUGCUUUUAAUUGUAAUUUAUGUAUAAA